rnacentral:rRNA from 1 species
UAAGGAAUAUUCCACAAUGGACGCAAGUCUGAUGGAGCGACGCCGCGUGAGCGAAGAAGCCCUUCGGGGUGUAAAGCUCUUUUCUCAGGGAUGAAACGGACAGUACCUGAGGAAUAAGCCCCGGCUAACUACGUGCCAGCAGCCGCGGUAAUACGUAGGGGGCAAGCGUUGUCCGGAUUUACUGGGCGUAAAGCGCGUGUAGGCGGCGAGAUAAGUCUGCUGUGAAAGCUCACGGCUUAACCGUGAGAGGUCGGUGGAAACUGUCUAGCUGGAGGACGGUAGAGGGGGGUGGAAUUCCCGGUGUAGUGGUGAAAUGCGUAGAGAUCCGGAGGAAUACCAGAGGCGAAGGCGGCCAACUGGACUUGUUCUGACGCUGAGGUGCGAAAGCGUGGGGAGCGAACAG